rnacentral:lncRNA from 1 species
GCUUCUUCGCGCCUCCCGGCCCCGGCCUGGCGUCCGUGGGGCGCUGUGCGUCUCCGAGAACGAAGCGGCCUCCGGGUUCGUGUGCUCCGAGCCCGAGUACUGUUUGCGGCCGUCGUCCCGUCCUGGAGCAGGAGUGAGGAAGCGCCUCUCACUCCCCCGCGAACCCGCAGAACAGGCCGCCGGCGCUAUGGAGACCGGCGGAGCUUCCCGCUCCUUCACCAAGGGGCCCUGACGCGCAGUUGAAAGCGCGGAUUUUGCCGGGCGCGGCGGCUGCGUCCGGAGUCCCAGCGCCUUGGGAGGCGAGGCGGGAGGAUCCCCACGGCCCGGGAGCUCGAGACCAGCCCGGGCAAAUAUUUUGAAAGUCAUGUUACAGAAGCUCUCAGUGGGCUGUGGAGACGCUGCCGUCUCCUGAACACAUCCAGCGACCACAUGACUAAGCAAAGGCAGCGGAGAGUGGACGGACGGUGAUGGACGCGGCCACGGAGCCCAAGCGCCCACAAUGCGCAUUCCUGUCUUUUCUCUCCCCGCUCACCUCAGAGCGGGACGGAAGGUGGGACUGGGAGAGCUGUUCUCGGGCAGGUGGACGCUGUGGAUUAGCGGAGAGGGAAGGCACUUUCGUUCUCGGCACCGUGAGGCUGUCCUGGUCAAUCCUGUUUUCAUGCUUGAGGGUCUCUGGUGCAGCAGCUCCACCAGCCUUGACACCAGGACUUCUGUGGAAUCCAGGUAAGCAGCCAGGGUCCUGAUAGGGCCAUGCCCUCACCCCCAUGUAAUGCAUCCACUCCCAGUUAAAUGAGAAAGGAACAAUCACAGGAAAACAUGGAGAACAACUCCACUGUUCAGAAGCCAACCCUAUAUUAGCUACUGUUUAGGUAGAAAUGAAAAACUUUGAGACGUAAACUCCUGCAGGUAGAAGUAGAUUUCCGGUGAAUGAACAAAAUGAAGCUUAUUAGAAUCAAUGGCCUCUUCUGAGAGCCGUUCUGAAUUUUUUUUUUUUUGAGACGGAGUCUUGCUAUGUCGCCCAGGCUGGAGUGCAGUGGCGCGAUCUCGG